rnacentral:rRNA from 1 species
GAUGAACGCUGGCGGCGUGCCUAAUACAUGCAAGUCGAGCGAACGGACGAGAAGCUUGCUUCUCUGAUGUUAGCGGCGGACGGGUGAGUAACACGUGGAUAACCUACCUAUAAGACUGGGAUAACUUCGGGAAACCGGAGCUAAUACCGGAUAAUAUUUUGAACCGCAUGGUUCAAAAGUGAAAGACGGUCCUGCUGUCACUUAUAGAUGGAUCCGCGCUGCAUUAGCUAGUUGGUAAGGUAACGGCUUACCAAGGCAACGAUGCAUAGCCGACCUGAGAGGGUGAUCGGCCACACGGGAACUUAGACGCGGUCCAGACUCCUACGGGAGGCAGCAGUAGGGAAUCUGCCGCAAUGGGCGAAAGCCUGACGGAACAACGCCGCGUGAGUGAUGAAGGUCUUCGGAUCGUAAAACUCUGUUAUUAGGGAAGAACAUAUGUGGAAGUAACUGUGCACAUCUUGACGGUACCUAAUCAGAAAGCCACGGCUAACUACGUG